rnacentral:rRNA from 1 species
GACGAACGCUGGCGGCGUGCCUAAUACAUGCAAGUCGAGCGGAAGUUGGAGAGCUUGCUCUUCAACUUUAGCGGCGGACGGGUGAGUAACACGUGGGCAACCUGCCCUGCAGAUCGGGAUAACUCCGGGAAACCGGUGCUAAUACCGAAUAGUUUUCGCCACCUCCUGGUGGCGUACGGAAAGACGGUUUCGGCUGUCACUGCAGGAUGGGCCCGCGGCGCAUUAGCUAGUUGGUGGGGUAACGGCCCACCAAGGCGACGAUGCGUAGCCGACCUGAGAGGGUGAUCGGCCACACUGGGACUGAGACACGGCCUAGACUCCUACGGGAGGCAGCAGUAGGGAAUCUUCCGCAAUGGACGAAAGUCUGACGGAGCAACGCCGCGUGAGUGACGAAGGUUUUCGGAUCGUAAAACUCUGCUGUGAGGGAAGAACAAGUACCACUUAACUACUGGUACCUUGACGGUACCUCACCAGAAAGCCACGGCUAACUACGUGCCAGCCGCCGCAGUAAAAC